rnacentral:misc_RNA from 1 species
AACAAGGCGUACCUGCGGACCUGCGGAAGGAUCAUUACCACGUUUGUUGUGCUAUCUGCUGUGCUGCCUUGUGCAGCCGGCAUUUGCCAACAACAAAACCCUCUCUUUAAUUUCUGUGAAACUCUUGUAGUCUAAGCCGCGAGUGUGCCACCGCGCUUAGAUGGUAACUCCAGUUGUGGUACAAACUCCAAUUAUUAUACCUCAUUGUAAUUUAACAACCUAACCUCUUUCUGGGUAGUU